UACGUAGGUGGCAAGCGUUGUCCGGAAUUACUGGGCGUAAAGCGCGCGCAGGCGGUCCUCCAAGUCAGUGGUGAAAGCCCGGAGCUCAACUCCGGAACUGCCAUUGAAACUGUGGGACUUGAGUACGGGAGAGGUGAGUGGAAUUCCCAGUGUAGAGGUGAAAUUCGUAGAUAUUGGGAAGAACACCGGUGGCGAAGGCGGCUCACUGGCCCGUAACUGACGCUCAUGCACGACAGCGUGGGGAUCAAACAGG
rnacentral:rRNA from 1 species